GACGAACGCUGGCGGCGUGCCUAAUACAUGCAAGUCGAACGCUUCUUUCCUCCCGAGUGCUUGCACUCAAUUGGAAAGAGGAGUGGCGGACGGGUGAGUAACACGUGUGUAACCUACCCAUCAGAGGGGGAUAACACUUGGAAACAGGUGCUAAUACCGCAUAACAGUUUAUGCCGCAUGGCAUCAGAGUGAAAGGCGCUUUCGGGCGUCGCUGAUGGAUGGACCCGCGGUGCAUUAGCUAGUUGGGGAGGUAACGGCUCACCAAGGCCACGAUGCAUAGCCGACCUGGGGGGGUGUUGCGCCACAGUGGGACUGAGACGCGGCCCUGAGUCCUACGGGAGGCCGCGGUAGGGAAUCUUCGGCGAUGGAGGAAAGUCUGACCGAGCAGCGCCGCGUGAGUGCAGAAGGUCUUCGGAUCGUAAAACUCUGUUGUUAGUGAAGAACAAGUACGUCAGUAACUGAGCGUUUCGUGACGGUACCUAAACAGAAAGCCCCGGCUAACUACGUG
rnacentral:rRNA from 1 species